UACGUAGGGGGCAAGCGUUGUCCGGAUUCAUUGGGCGUAAAGAGCUCGUAGGCGGCUUGGUAAGUCGGAUGUGAAACCUCCAGGCUCAACCUGGAGUCGCCAUCCGAUACUGCUAUGGCUAGAGUCCGGUAGGGGCCCACGGAAUUCCUGGUGUAGCGGUGAAAUGCGCAGAUAUCGGGAGGAACACCGAUGGCGAAGGCAGAGGGCUGGGCCGGCACUGACGCUGAGGAGCGAAAGCGUGGGGAGCGAACAGG
rnacentral:rRNA from 1 species